CUGCACAGGGAACACCCAAGUGUGCUAUGUAGCUCCCUUGGUUUUUAUCCUGUGCUAGAUUAAUGUCUGUCCUUUUUCCUCUGCGUUUGGGUGAGAUUUUGUUCUCCUGCACGUAUUCAGAAGUACAGUACACUG